rnacentral:tRNA from 1 species
AGCAGAGUGGCGCAGCGGAAGCGUGCUGGGCCCAUAACCCAAUGUCGAUGGAUCAAAACCAUCCUCUGCUA